UAAGCAAAGAUGUCAGCAUUUGCUCACAGAAACUUAAUCAGUCUAUCUCUUAAAUCAGGUUUAAGAUUCACACCGAUCUGAACCAUUUUUUUUGGAUCAUCUUUCAAAAAAAGCCUUUAAGCUUUUCUGCCGAUUCACCUCAGAUUUUUUCGACCUUAUCCAGUGCGUCUGGAUAUCAACUAGCGCAGUUUUCGCUGGUUGGUUUAUUUUAGCAGAAAUCAUAAAAUACUAUCGAGUUAUCGUCUGGUCACCAC
rnacentral:lncRNA from 1 species